rnacentral:lncRNA from 1 species
GCAGAACUCUGGCGGCGGCCGUGGGGCUGCUGGAGCCGGGCCUGGCUGGGAUGACCGUGACCGUGGCCCCCACGCACGCCUAGACCGGACCCCGGGCGGACGCCGCCUCCUGGGACCAGAUUCCACCGCAGCGGCGGCGCGGCCGGGAGUCGCGCGGGAAGAAACUGACUCAGCGGACUCCGCUGAGUCCACAGGCCCGGAGCCCCGCAGCGGAGGCGCGCAGUGCGCAGCCCGGCCGGCCACCCUCCGCGACCCGCCAGCCGGGGAUCCUGCGGCCCCACGGAAGGUCUGGGAACUGGGAGCAGGAAAAAUGAAAGCCGCCUAUCUCCAGAUCUAAGAAUAGAAAUCAGGGCGCUGGGAAAAGAGGACACCGCCCAGAUGGCCCCUUUUAGGAAUACAUUGUCUUUAGAGUUCCACCUAUAGGGAGAUGAGCAAUUUUCCCCCAAAGGAUGGAAAGAGGGGUUAGCCAUCAAAACUGCCCCCGCUACUCUUUUUUAUGAUUUUUUGUGACUGUUAGUGGGAGAGGAAAUAAACAUUGUUUCCCUGUGAGUUAUCUGAAGCUCUGGUCACCAAAAGGCCACUAAAUUAACUUUUGGAAAUUUGAGUUGCACUAGGCAGGAUCCUGAUACUUGGGACACCCGAAAAGUAAUCAGCUCUCAGAGCUAUUAGAGCUGAGACAAAGGACAGGGUACAUGAAAUGAAAGGUGAAAAGUUGAGAGAAGCAAACCUAAAUACUCUUCUCUUGGUAUUCAGAAAUACUUAUGAGUAUGGGUGUCUAUAACCCCAAAGUUUUUUGGUUUUGUCUUUUGAUUGUUUGUUUGUUUGUUCUGUUAAGUACCUAAGUAAUGUGUUUUUAGGAAAAGAAACCUAGCAAGAACAUUGUAGACAAGGCUAGGCAAAGAUGAUCUAUCCUUCAGGUGAUGUGUCUGUCCUCAAGAUCACUUACAAAGAAGAGGAUUGGACUGGAAGUUACUACUUCACAAUUUUAGUUUUGUUUUCACAUCUGUUACUUCAAUCCUGAUGACAAUUCUGAAAUGGAUACAACUACUACUAUGUAUCCUUCUUUCACUAGUGAGGAAAUUGAGAUUUGGAAUUGAGAAGUGAAGAGCUUUGCUGGAGUCACACAGGUGGGAAGUUGAGAGCCAGGACUUCAACCCAGCAAAUCUCCUAACUCCAGGUCUGGUAGAAGACACCAAUCAAAAUAAACUGCAUUCCUGAAACACAGACAGACGUUAAAGCUAUUCAAGUCCUCAAGUCCCAGAGACUAUUGAGGAAGAGGUGGGAGUGUGACAUUGGAAGGGCUGAUAUUGAGAGAUAAAAGUCAAGAAAACUUUUAAGCUGUUUACAGCUUUUAAUAAUUGAGUAAGGUAUACUCCUGUGAACAAAAUUUGGAGCAUAUUUUUUUCUCUCUACCUGAUUUCUCCAAAAUUUGGAAACUAUUUAUUCACCUCUAAGAAUUUUCUUUGAAUGUUCCUGGGAUGGAUGAAAUGGGGGGAGUGAAGAAGAUUUGUACUACUUCUAAAGCAGAGUUUACAAUUCAAGCUCUGAAGAAGAAAAAAUAAAUAAACUUAAGUAAAUGUAAACACAAGUUGAGGCACAUUCAAUAAUGAACUCUAA